AUGGUUGGGAUACCUCAUUUGGUAAAACAAAAGACUGAAAAUC
rnacentral:tRNA from 1 species